rnacentral:lncRNA from 1 species
CUCUGGACCUCUACUAUAAGCGAAUUCCUUCAAAACUUCUAUUGCAGGCAGACUUCAACCGAGCCUCUACAAUAAGCAGUCUCCAUCCGGACUUUUACAAGAAUCGGACUCCAUCUGAACUUUCAUAGCGGAUGGAUUUCAGACGAACUUCUACAACGGACGGGCUCCAGCAGCCGGAUCUCUACUCCAAACCUCUUCCGGACUUCGUCAAGGACCGAGCUUCUCCGGCAGCAGGACUUCUACAAUA